GCCACCAAAUUCACAAGGAGACAAUGGUGCACAAAGCUGCAAUAAGGGCUUGAAAUAUUGGCAGGACUCCAAAGGUAGCUCAUCAAUUAUGGUAAUUGAUAUCAAGGAGCAGUUAUGUGACAAAACUGAAAUCGUUUUCCAGUCUGGCUGCCCGACCCUCUAAGUGGAAAAAGCUCGUAGUAUCAAUCCUUCCACCCCUGUUAUCUUCAUCUGCCUGCUCGCUUUCCUCAACUUCCCUGGCUUAAACUUUUUCUUGUUUUGUAUUCUCUUGAUGCUGCUUUAUUCAUUGUUA
rnacentral:lncRNA from 1 species